GUUGUUAUUAUAUCUGGUGAAGUGUAAUGAAAAUAUUUGUACCAUCCCAAUGAUACAGAUACCCUAGUAUAAAAAGUUUUACCCUAAUUCUUAAACUUCUGACAUAGCGACAGAAUUGUUUUUUUUGUUUUUUUUUCAAUCUAAGUCAAUCAUGACCUAAAAAGUAGGCUUUAUUUAACCAGAUGCUCCACAGGGUGCAGCUUUA
rnacentral:lncRNA from 1 species